GAUUUUGUCUUCUACGCCGUCUGGUCGCGGGAUUUUGAUGAAAGCGUCUAUGUCACCCACUGCUGGGAUGUAAUCGGGGAUGAAUGGUGUAAAAAGUUGGUUUUCAUCCUUUUCAUACUUGGACGCGAGAACCACGAGGAGAAAAAGAACGGCACAGAUGACCGAAAAAGCUACGACAUCUGUCGUAAUAUUCCUCAACGUGAUACGAAGUUUCGUAUCCGAAGAAUCGAAGUUGUCGUUUGUUGCCAUCCAGAAGACUUUAUAGAGAAUCACAUCCUAAAACAUUUUGUUUUGGGACACACACCGAAUUUGUGAUUUUUCUUUUGUAUAACAUAUACUUCACACUUUUUGACAAAUAAGAUUGGAAAGUAUUUACAUAUGUACUGGUUUUAAAGCACGGAGUUCAUUAUUUUAAGAAUUAUGCGUAUGCAAAGUUUAUGCAUAUUGCAGUGUUUACUUGGAGACAUACAUGAUUUAUUACAUCAUCAAGAGCUCGAUCGAUAACCAUCAAUUGGUGUCAUUUUGUUGAAGUUGACCUAUGAGACUUUCAGAUAAUUUUAGAACAAUUUACUUUAAUUUCUGUUACAUAGUCUACAUCGCAAAGUAGCCAUCAAUGACAUUUAUCGAGAAUAUAUAAAAUAAAACAUAAAAUAUAAAUCAAAGACAGAUAGAUGAACUAGAUAUAACGAAUCUUAAAACUAACCUUUGUGACUACUUAUAACACAACAAUAUCAAUGAGAGAACAACAGAAUGAAUUGAUAUUGAUUUGGGUUAGGUUUCAUCAAUAUUAUUAAGAAUCAUAUUGAUGUCAGAUGUAAGUAAAUCAGCGAAAGAUUAGACGCGCAAGAGAGGUUAGUAUCAUUUGUUGUUGAUGACUUUAUCGAUAAAAGUCAAUAUGGUAUCCAAAUAAACUGUGCAAUAUACACAAACUUUAUAUACGCAUAAGUUGUAAAAUGAUGAUCUCCGCGCCUUGAAACUGGGAUUUUUGGAUUCCACUCAUGAUAUGAUAAAAAAGAGUCCCAUACAAGCGCGACGUUAUUUUCUUCUUAAUAAAUACUACAGAAAAAUAGCUUUCUUAAUUUAAGUAAUUUUUCUAUCAUACUGAUUGACAUCUGGAUGUUCCGUUGUUCUUGUAAUAAGGAGGUUAAUCACGCGAUCUUACUCGUUCCCUCGUCUUCUCGUGGAUACAGUGGAAAUUUGUCCGACUAUCUUUUGCCACAAAAAUCUCACAUUGCUCUACCUACUGCCCAGAAUUUGACAAAAGCUUCGCGAUUCAAGAUUACACUGUCGUUUGUUAUAGAAAUCGAUAUAGAAAAUAUUAUAAUAUUCAAGAGAUAUUUGUAUAUAUAGUAAAUCUAAAACAGCAUUGUAUAAACUAAACCUAACCCAUAAAGGUGCAUGUGACUUCAAAUAAAUGAAAUAAAAGAAUUAUAUUAGAGAAAACAAAAUUUGAUGUGAAUUAUGUAUAUAUUAUUUUAAGAAGAUUUAUAAUAAAAAUAUUGAAAUCUUAUUAUUGA